AAGUCGUAACAAGGUCUCCGUUGGUGAACCAGCGGAGGGAUCAUUACAGAGUCGUAAAAAACUCCCAAACCCAUGUGAAUCUACCAUUGUUGCCUCGGCGGGGCCUACCCCGUACCUACCCUGUAGUUACCCUGUAGCCCGCCGGUGGACACCUAAACUCUUGUUAUUAUAUGGAAAUCUGAGCGUCUUAUUAAAUAAGUCAAAACUUUCAACAACGGAUCUCUUGGUUCUG
rnacentral:misc_RNA from 1 species